GUUGACCUCGGAUCAGGUAGGACUACCCGCUGAACUUAAGCAUAUCAAUAAGCGGAGGAAAAGAAACCAACAGGGAUUGCCCCAGUAACGGCGAGUGAAGCGGCAACAGCUCAAAUUUGAAAUCUGGCCCCAGGCCCGAGUUGUAAUUUGCAGAGGAUGCUUUUGGCGCGGUGCCUUCCGAGUUCCCUGGAACGGGACGCCAUAGAGGGUGAGAGCCCCGUACGGUUGGACACCAAGCCUUUGUAAAGCUCCUUCGACGAGUCGAGUAGUUUGGGAAUGCUGCUCUAAAUGGGAGGUACAUUUCUUCUAAAGCUAAAUAUUGGCCAGAGACCGAUAGCGCACAAGUAGAGUGAUCGAAAGAUGAAAAGCACUUUGAAAAGAGGGUUAAACAGCACGUGAAAUUGUUAAAAGGGAAGCGCUUGUGACCAGACUUGCGUCCGGUGAAUCACCCAGCCCUCGCGGCUGGGGCACUUCGCCGGCACAGGCCAGCAUCAGCUUGCCGUCGGGGACAAAAGCUUCAGGAACGUGGCUCCUCUCGGGGAGUGUUAUAGCCUGUUGCAUAAUACCCUUCGGCGGGCUGAGGUACGCGCUCCGCAAGGAUGCUGGCGUAAUGGUCAUCAGCGAC
rnacentral:rRNA from 1 species